AACGGCCGUACCAUGCUGAAUAUACCGGUUCUCGCCAGAUCCACCGAGGGUCAAGCAUCAUUGGGCGCGGUCAGUACUUGUGUGGGUGGGUGACCACCUGGGAACACCGUGUGCCGUU